rnacentral:rRNA from 1 species
GACGAACGCUGGCGGCGUGCCUAAUACAUGCAGGUCGAGCGGACGGAUGGGAGCUUGCUCCCAGACCGUCAGCGGCGGACGGGUGAGUAACACGUGGGCAACCUGCCUGUAAGACUGGGAUAACUCCGGGAAACCGGGGCUAAUACCGGAUAACUCUUUCCCUCACAUGAGGGAAAGCUGAAAGAUGGCAUCUCGCUAUCACUUACAGAUGGGCCCGCGGCGCAUUAGCUAGUUGGUGAGGUAACGGCUCACCAAGGCGACGAUGCGUAGCCGACCUGAGAGGGUGAUCGGCCACACUGGGACUGAGACACGGCCCAGACUCCUGCGGGAGGCAGCAGUAGGGAAUCUUCCGCAAUGGACGAAAGUCUGACGGAGCAACGCCGCGUGAGUGAUGAAGGUUUUCGGAUCGUAAAACUCUGUUGUCAGGGAAGAACAAGUACCGGAGUAACUGCCGGUACCUUGACGGUACCUGACCAGAAAGCCACGGCUAACUACGUG